AUGGCAGGAAGGGGGGACAGAAAAGGGGGGGAAGACAGGACAAGAAAUGGAGGGAAAAAGGGACAGAAAAGGGGGAAGAGAGGAGAGAAAUCGGAGGGAAACGUGACAAAAAAUAUGGGGAAGAGGGGAUGGAAAAGAGGAGGAAGAGGGGAGGGGAAAAUGGAGGCAAGACAGAACAAGAAAUGGACGGAAAAGGAGGGGAAGAGGGGAGACAAAAUGGUGGGAAGAGGUGACAGAAAAUUGAGGAAACGUGACAGAAAAGGGACAGAAGAGGUGGCAGUAAAUGGCGGGAAGAGGAGAGAGAACAAGGGGGAAGAAGGGACAGAAAAUGGCAGGAAGCAGGGACAGAGAAUGGUGGGAAGAGGGGACAAGACAUGGAGGAAGAGGGGACAGAAGUGGGUGACAAGGGGACAUGAGAGGGGACAGCAGAUGACCGCUGGCCACCAUUGUCACCUGUGUCCCCUCAGGCUGCGGCGAUGGACGGUGACCCACACGGUGAGGGGCUCUGGCGGCCAUGUCCCCCGGGACGCAAGAUGCAGGUUUCUCCCCCGAGGAACACGAAUGUCACUGUCUGUCAUGUCGUCCCCCCACCAAGGUGUCCCUUGUCCCCCUGCGGGGGGUCCACGGCUGGAGGCGCUGCUGGUGCGGAUCCGCAGCCUGCACCGAGCCCGUCAGGUCCUGGCGCGGGAGAUGGCGGAGGCGCAAGGACAGAGCGAGGAGUUGCGACGGCACCUGGAACAACUGGAAGAGCGUCAGGCGGCGCUGGAAGGGCUCUGGCAGCAGAAGCAAGAGGCGCUGCGGGUGGCACGGUUGCGCAGGGAGGAGGUGGAGGCCGAAGGUCAAAGGCGCCAGGGCCUGUGCCUAAGCCGCCAGCAGGACCUGGAGGGGGCGGAGGAGCAGCGGGAACGCCUGCGUCACCUGCGGCGGGGACAAAGGCAGGAGUUCUGGCAGCAGCUCGAUGACAUCAUGGAGGAGCACAAACACCUGCGUGAAGCGCACGUGAGCCCCGGACCCCUGGGGUGUCCCCCCCCCCCCUCUGCGCCCCCUCUCCCCCACCCCUGGGGUGUCCCCUCCUCCCCACCCCUGUGUCCCCUCUCCUGUAGACCCCCGCCCAGUUAG
rnacentral:lncRNA from 1 species